ACAGCAGCGGCAGAGAUGAUCAGCACCGCUGUCUGAACGUGGCGCUGUGUUUGCCUAUAUUCAGCAACAAACAUACAGUGAUGUUGUUAUGUAGUCAGUAAUUGUAACAGGAAAUAUUGAAGAAGGUGAAAUGACGGGGUUUGUACAUUCUUUCGAAGCGCAUACCGCUUCACCGUGUUUUCACUGACGAAGGAUACGGCUGCGCGUCGUCGUCGGGAGAUGGACGGGAGGACUGCGGAUGACAGGAGGACGAGUGAGGAAGCGGCCGACGGCCUCUGUCUCCAGCUUGACCUGGGGGACGCCGAUUCAGCCAAGAAGGCUCAGAUAACAGAGAUGCCGUCCCCAUUUGGAGUUGGCCAAGCCCAUGAGAAAAAGAUUGGCCACAGGAGAGUAGAUGCCUCUGGAGAGACGACAUACAAGAAGACCACCUCCUCUGCCUUGCAAGGGGCCAUCCAGCUGGGUAUUGGAUAUACUGUUGGCAACCUCAGCUCCAAGCCUGAGAGAGAUGUGCUGAUGCAGGACUUCUAUGUGGUGGAAAGCAUCUUCUUUCCCAGUGAAGGCAGUAACCUCACUCCGGCACACCACUUCCCAGACUUUAGGUUUAAAACCUACGCCCCUGUGGCCUUCCGCUACUUCCGAGAGCUAUUUGGGAUCCGACCAGAUGACUACCUGUAUUCUCUAUGUAAUGAGCCACUGAUUGAGUUGACAAAUCCAGGAGCUAGUGGCUCCAUAUUCUACGUAACCCGCGAUGACGAGUUCAUCAUCAAAACUGUUAUGCAUAAAGAGGCAGAGUUUCUACAGAAACUCCUUCCUGGAUAUUAUAUGAACUUGAACCAGAACCCCCGGACUUUGCUGCCAAAGUUUUUUGGCCUUUACUGCGUGCAGUGUGGGGGCAAGAACAUCCGAGUUGUUGUGAUGAACAACAUUUUACCACGCUCUGUACGCAUGCACCUCAAGUUUGAUCUGAAGGGCUCCACAUACAAGAGGCGAGCAUCCAAGAAAGAAAGAGAGAAGUCAAAACCCACUUUUAAAGACCUGGACUUUUUGAAUGACGUUCCUGACGGCCUCACUCUGGACCAGGACACAUACAGCGCUCUGGUCAAAACUCUGCAGAGAGACUGCCUGGUUCUGGAAAGUUUUAAGAUUAUGGACUACAGUUUGCUGCUGGGGGUGCACAACAAGACCCAAGCGGAGCGGGACCGCCAGUCCCAGGGCUCGCCUGCAGGAGGCGGGGAUGAAAAGAAGCGUGCAGCUCAGAGAGCCUUGUAUUCAACUGCCAUGGAGUCUAUACAGGGAGGCUCCACAUGUAGGGACACGCUGGACCAUGAUGACACUAUGGGUGGUAUUCCAGCUGUGGGUGCUAAAGGAGAGCGCCUCCUGCUGUUCAUUGGAAUUAUUGAUAUCCUGCAGUCCUACAGAAUGAUCAAGAAACUUGAGCACUCUUGGAAGUCUCUCAUCCAUGACGGGGACACAGUGUCAGUUCACAGACCUGGUUUCUAUGCUGAGAGAUUCUACAAAUUCUGUAGCACCAUUGUCUUCAGGAAGAGCUGCUCACUGCGAUCGUCUCCAUCUAAGAGAGGACGAGGGGCUCUUUCCAUGUCCAAGUCCAGUGCUGGAACAGGUUCAGCUGGGCAGCGUCCCUCACUGACUGAAGACAAGCAGGAAAACCAGGACAACUUGGAGAACCUACAAGGAGCUCCCAGCUUCCCCAUGCUGGAGGACAAUGGGAGAGAGCCACCCUGCACCCCCCCUUCCUUUGAAGAUGCUACCACAGCUUCUAUCGCUACCACGCUGUCCUCUAACAACUCCUUACCCACCACUCCCUUCGAUACACCAGAGCACCCACGCUACAGGAGACAAAUGCAUUCCCCAAGUUUGGCCAGGUUACAGAAAGUUGAGGUUCAUGGGGAAAAGCAGGACACCAUAACAGUGGAGGUGGAGCUCAGUAAAAUCCCAAAGAGCACGGAGCUCACAGAGUUGACAGAAAUGACCUUCCCCAGCCAUCUGUCUCCUGAUCACCAGCCCCGUGUCAUCGCUUCAUCCACCCCUCUCUCUGUUAGUCCAUCCUCUGCAUAUUCCUCCUCCACUCUUCCUCCGUCUUUUGUGUCUUCCUCCUCCGCUGCACAAUCAGCGGGCCACUCGUCCUCCACACUUGCUUCGUCCAUCCGUCCGUCCACGAAACCGCUCACCUCUCCCGCAGCUGCUCAGUCUUCCACUCUUUCUUCUCCGGCCUCUCGUUCAGCCGCGCAACCCACACUUCUCACUUCAGCUCCAAACACCUCCGCCCUCUCUCCUGUCUCUGCUUUCACUCCCAUCUGCCCUGCAUCUCCUCACUCCUCCACAGAGAGCUCCUCUCACCGUCUGCCCUCGACCCCUCCCUCCUCCCACCCUCCAAGCCCCCAGGUGCCUCAGCCACGUACAUCGUGCAAUCAGCUUUCUGUGUCCAGCAGCCACAACUCAUUGGAAGGGGAGGUGCCAGUGUCUGACAUCUACUUUUGGCCCAGUCAGGACAGCGUGGUAGAGUUAUGAUGCAGACUCAGGAGGAUCGGGGCUGGGUGUACUCUCCUCUGCACUACGGCUCAGAAUCCAGAAGGGGCUCAGAUGGGGAGAGUGAGACAUAACAGAUGGGUGGAGCCAGAGGCCAAAUACAGAAGCUGUGAGGUUUUGAUAAAACAGCCACCAGGACACUGCUUGCCCAAGCUGCAUGUGAAAGCUUGCUUCGCCAGCAGAAACUAUUGGAAUGAACUCAUAGAAGCAUUCAAGUAUACAACAGCACAACCAUGCAUAUACUCACAUACAUUUAAAUGAACAUACAGAUAUACAACUAUCAAAAUAUUAUGCAACGAAAAUGAAGAAGCAUCAAUUCCUGAACAAUCUGACUGUCAUCAAGCAGAGAAAUGAACUUAAAUCAUAUGGUACAAUCAGCUGAGUGGCACUGUGAAUGAUUUUGGUGGCUGUUAAGUCAGGUAUAGCAGUCCUGCUGCCUGCUGUUUUUAGUUUUUUAGUGUUCACGAGUCACGCAGCACUGUGUCAGCUCUGGCUAUGCAAUAUGGGCAUACAUGUUAUUGAUUUCUCUGUUUGACUAAUGCAUAACUACUUCAGAGAGAGUUUAUGCAUUUAUUUUUCACUAGGAGAAUGUUAAAGCUGUAUAUGAUUUUAUUUUUAGCACUUUAUCAAUGUACAUGUGGCUGAGGUCAUUUGAAAUCAUAUAUUUUGUUCUUAUGUGUCAUCAGUUGCAAAGUUUCAAAACACUCACAUAAACACACAGUUCAAUAUUUUUUUUUGUGCUGAGUAUGCACAGUGUUCAGUUUUAACAGUGGUGUGGUCCACUUUAGAAACGUUGAUCUGACAAUGAAUGGUUGUGUUCAAAAUGCCUUAUUGACAAACUCAUUUUCAUAACAGUUUUUGAUAUUUCGGUCACAUGUAGGCCUAAUCGUUAAAAAAAUAUAUAUAUAAAAUAUAAAUAUACAGAACAUUUUAUUGUGUGAGUAAAUACCAAAUCCAACACAUCAAGACAAAACAAAAGGAAAAAAAAAUCUAAUGAUCUUUUGUAAAUUGUAGAUAAACCGUGUGUGUAAAGCACAUGCAUGUAAGUCUGUACUCGCCCUCAUGUCUCAGUGUGUGCAUGUGUUUGCAUGCAGAUUGAUGUGUGAUUGGGAGAAAUGUAGUUGUGAGACUCUUCUGUUCUGCCUAUUUGUCAAAAGGUGUAACUUCUGUUUAUUGUUAUAAGCCAUGAACGUCUGAACCAGCUAUAAGCAUGUUGGCUGUGUGAGAAAAGUGACCCCCAGUCUUUAAAGAAACUGGACUAACCAUAAAUGACCAAAUUAAACAAACUGAGCUGAACUGAAAUCUAUUUUCUGAACAGUUUAGUCAGAAAAUAAAUCUGCUGUUGCCACCUUCCUUCCUCCAUACGUGGUGAUGCUUGUUGCAAUAUGAUUGACCAUUAUGAGACUUCCUGACUGUGUCGAUAAGCACUGCUAUAACAGAUUACUGUAUUAUUUGAAUCAGCUGAAGCUAACCUGCCUGUUUGUAGGAAUCAGUGUCUGUAGCUUAUCACUGAGUAAAAGAAAAUAAAGAUUAU